rnacentral:rRNA from 1 species
GACGAACGCUGGCGGCGUGCUUAACACAUGCAAGUCGAACGGAAAGGCCCUGCUUUUGUGGGGUGCUCGAGUGGCGAACGGGUGAGUAACACGUGAGUAACCUGCCCUUGACUUUGGGAUAACUUCAGGAAACUGGGGCUCAUACCGGAUAGGAGCUCCUGCUGCAUGGUGGGGGUUGGAAAGUUUCGGCGGUUGGGGAUGGACUCGCGGCUUAUCAGCUUGUUGGUGGGGUAGUGGCUUACCAAGGCUUUGACGGGUAGCCGGCCUGAGAGGGUGACCGGCCACAUGGGGACUGAGAUACGGCCCAGACUCCUACGGGAGGCAGCAGUGGGGAAUAUUGCACAAUGGGCGGAAGCCUGAUGCAGCAACGCCGCGUGCGGGAUGACGGCCUUCGGGUUGUAAACCGCUUUCGCCUGUGACGAAGCGUGAGUGACGGUAAUUGGUAAAGAAGCACCGGCUAACUACGUG